GGGGAAGUAGCUCAGCUGGGAGAGCGCCUGCCUUGCACGCAGGAGGUCGGCGGUUCGAAUCCGCUCUUCUCCACCA
rnacentral:tRNA from 1 species